rnacentral:lncRNA from 1 species
UCGUAUCUUUCUCCAUUACACAUUACAACAUAUUUAUACCUUUUUCAUCCAGAAUUUAAUUACAUUGAAUUAAACCAAAACAAGACCCCGUUAAGAGAUAUUGGCUUAAGUUACUUAAUGGACCAUAUUCUUUUCUUUUCGUAGGCCAUUACAAAAUUAAUCACAACAUAAGCUCAUACAAACUCUUACGUAAUGAUGAAAUAAUAAAUCACGAUCAUGACGAAAAGCGCACACAACCAUGUUUUUGAAAUUUCCUAGCUCUUGUAUCUCUUUCUCGUAUAAUUUAACUUCGAUAUUGAGCUCUCCAACCUGAAUCUUGUGCUUGUCAAUCUGAAUCUUGUGCUUUGAUGACUAACAGAUAAAUCUGCCAUCAAAAUAAAAUAAGUUAUACAACCAACAAACAAAUCUGCGAUGAGCAACAAAUAAAUCUGCAAACACUUAUAAAAAAUUUGCGAAGAAACAGAUAAAACUGCGAACACAAACCAAUAAAUAUGUCAUCAAACAACAACAAAAACUGCGAUGAGCUAACUCUCAAACCUCAACCUAAGCUAAGUUUCUUAUAUAAAAACAUGCAAACAUUUUACAAACUUAAGCUAAUUAUCUAACAAAACCUGAAACUUAGAACAAGAAACCUACAACUUAUCAAAUCUAAACCUGCAAAUUCAUUUACCACAAAAAGUGAUUAGGGUUUAAAAUUGUUUUACACCAUUGUCGCUGCCGCCUUCUUCUUCUCCAAAUUCGUUGUUGUUGUCAUAUAAUCGCCUUGCAGAGAACCACCAUCAAAAACCGCCAAACCAGUUGGUAGCAAAAAGGAGAAGACGAUGCGGCCGAUGACAGUUUGUGACGAAGAAGAGAAGACGACUCGACCGAGGAAAGUUGGUGGCAGAGAGGAGAAGACGAACCACAUAUGGUGGCGGCGAAAUCUGGAGAAGAAGAGUUGAGAAUUUAGGUUUUGUUUUUAGACAGGUGCUCUGGAGAAAACAACUCCGUGAGAAGCAGCGUCUAAGCAUUCGCCGGAGAAGCUGCGUCGAAGAACUCACAGGAGAAGAAGGCG